AAAGGUAGCAUAAUCAUUAGUUUUUUAAUUGAAAUCUUGUAUGAAUGGUUGGACGAGGUAAAAACUGUCUUUAUUUAAUUAAAAUUAUAAUUUAACUUUUGAGUUAAAAGGCUUAAAUUUGGCUAAUAGACGAGAAGACCCUAUAGAUCUUUAUAAAAUAUUUAUUUAUUGUGUUAGGAUUAUUUAUUUAUAGAUAAUGAAGUUUAUUUUAUUGGGGUAAUAUAGAGAUUUAAUUAAUUCUUUGAAUAUUUAAACAAGAGUAAUUGGUUGAGUGAUCCAUUAUUAUUGAUUGUAAGAUUAAGUUACCUUAGGGAUAACAGCGUAAUUUUUUUAGAGAGUUCAUAUCGAUAAAAGAGU
rnacentral:rRNA from 1 species